rnacentral:rRNA from 1 species
UACGUAGGCAGCGAGCGUUGUUCGGAGUUACUGGGCGUAAAGAGUGCGUAGGCGGUUUUCUAAGUUUGGUGUGAAAUCUCCCGGCUUAACUGGGAGGGUGCGCCGAAAACUGGAAGGCUUGAGUAUGGGAGAGGUAAGCGGAAUUCCUAGUGUAGAGGUGAAAUUCGUAGAUAUUAGGAAGAACACCAGUGGCGAAGGCGGCUCACUGGCCCGGUACUGACGCUCAUGUGCGAAAGCGUGGGGAGCAAACAGG